CAGCAGAUGGCAUCAUGCACGUCUGGAGCUCCACUAAUUUCAGGUAAUCACCGUAUAAUUAAACAACAUUAUGUUGUUGCAUAUAAUUAAACGCCAACUAAUGCUGUCAUGGAAUGUGGUACCAAAUUUAUAACCCGUAGGUGCCUAUGUUGCAUAUACUAUGUAUUUUUUGCUCUCAUCUUGGGAGAUUUGUAAGUGAUUGCACAAUAAUCCACAGGCUCAAGAGAACCAUUAACUUAGGCGGCGGUGGACGUGUUGUCGGUCUCGCAUGUUUGAUGGGUUCACGAAGGUACAUGCCCUUGUUAUUUUAAUUUCAUUUUUAUUUUCUGUCUGACUAGGAGAGUUGCUUCGCUGCAUGCUCUUUAGGUGGGAAACAAUGAUAUAAUUUUGUCUCAAUAAUUAUCAACAAUCAAUCAAGCUUGCCCUUUGUUCAUGUUCCAUAUUUUUUUAAUAGAGAAAAAAUAUUUUUGGCCCCACAAGUUUGCGCAAAAGUACACAUUUGGUCCCUCAUCAUUUUUGGGGUGAUUGACAUUUCAUCCCUCAUGUUCCAAAACCGACCAAGAAUCGUCCAAAACCGGAGCGAAGCGGUAUGGGGCUGACAUGUCAAUGGUUUUCGGCUCACUGUGCCACAUGGCGGUCAAAGUCAACUAUUUCUCCUACCCCCAUGUCUCUCUUUCACACAACUCAUUUCCCAAGGUCUUCUUCCCCAAUAUCCUUUCUCCAUCAUCGGCUCCCCGAUAUCUCGGACAUUCCUUCAAUGCCGCUCCUCAACGAGGCGAGCGCCUCGCUACCGCCAAGCACACCAUCAACAGGCACCUCCCGUAUGUGUGCUUCCCGAACCGAAAGCCUCCACAGCCAUCGCAGCAUCUAGUUCCAUGACGCAUGCGCCUGGGAGGCCGUCCAGUGCACCCUCCUCGUCCAGUCGCAACACCUUCCUCAACACUGCCCAUGUGCCCGCGCUGGCCUAGCACGGACAGUAGUAGCAAACAAGUCGACCCUCUGACGCUGGUGUCGAGGAGGAAUGCAUGGAGCUUGUCUUGGAAGGCGAGGUCCAUGGAGGCGACGCCCUGGGAGUACAUGGCCACACAUGCGACGUUGUUGGCCUCGAGGUGGCGCGGACCCCAUGGAGCAUGGUGGUUUAGAGCACCGCACCGCCGUCGGUGCUGCUGGUGGGGCGGGAGCGAGACGCGCGUUGCCGUCAAUGGGACAAAGUGGGAGGCAGUUAGGGUGGAGCGGGCGUUGGUGUACCUGGGGAUGGGGCGACGCGGGGACAUGGACUUCGCCGACCCGAUGGAGGACGGGCACCUAGUUUUAAAUUUCAAUUUCAGGAAUAUUUUAGCACCUACCGAAAUUACCGAAUUUUAGUGAUUUCUGUUUACAUUUCAGCCAAAGAACCGGAAUGUUCGCUUGAAAUUCAAAAAUAUAUUUGAACAUUUAAAAAAUAUUUUGAAAAAUAUUUGAAUUCCUGUGUACAACUGAAAUUACUGAAAUAUUUUUACUGAGAGUUAAAUAUGUUGGUGUCUACUGAAAUUGCUUCAUCGAACUCUCACUGAAAGUGAAAACCGCAACGGCAGAGAAAACGGGGUAGACGAGACGGUCAUAUGGGGCAGAGGAGGAGGAGCUCGGUGGUGGACUGGGCACGGAUGGCGGGAAAGAGGAGAAACCAUGGGAAGUGGACUACAGUGCGAGGCGCGUGCAAUGAAUCCCAAAGGCGACGCAAGGAGCAUAUUUCUCUAGGUGGUGGGGAAGGCUGACUGCGGCGGCUCUCCAUUAGAGCAACCCAGCAGAGUCACCAUAUCCGCAACAUGCAAAGCACUUUUGGAUGGCGCUCCAUAGUUUUUUGGUGGCUGCGGAGGUUGUGCCCAAACACAGAGUCGCCAUAUGCAGCCUUCAUAAUUUUUCCGAUUUUUAUGAUUCAACAAUAUGUUUACAAACCAUUAAUUUGAAUACAACAAAUAGUCCAAGUUAACAAAUAAUCCAAUGAAACAAAUUGUUCAAGAGAAAAAAUGAAUUAAGGAAAGUUAAACACACCAUCGUCCAGCUAGAUGCUAUUGAUGCUCAGUAAAAAUCUUCACAUGGCUGAUCAUGGGCCAGUCUUCAAUCUUCUAGUACGCCUCAAGAAAUGUUCGAAUAUGGUUUAUGUGCCUACGAGGCCUGACAGUUGUUCCCAUGUGAUUAUAGUCUUUGGCCAUCGGUGUUUCCCUCUCAUCCUGAGUGAUCAUAUUGUGUAGGAUCAUACAGCAAGUCAUGAUCUUUGUAAAGCAAUCCUUAUUCUAGAAACAAGCAAAACCCCGAACAAUUGCAAACCUAGCUUGCAGCACUCCAAAUGCUCUCUCGGCGUCCUUUCUCCCUGCUUCUUGCACCUUUACGAAAUGUUUAUGUUUCUUACUUUGAGGAUUAGAAAUCGUCUUCACAAAUGUUGACCAAGAUGGACAGAUGCCAUCGGCUAGAUACUAGUCUUGGUCGUACUCAUGGCCUUCACCUUAUAGUUGCAUCCUGGAGCAGUACCACUUCCUAGACUAGCAAACAUAUGAGAUCUCUGCAUGACAUUGAUGUCAUUAUGAGAUCCGGGAAAGCCAAAGUAGCAAUGCCAAAUCUAGAAAUCCUCGGAGGCAACCUCUUCCAAAAUCAUAGUUGGAUCACGGCAAUGCUUGGUGAACUGAUAGUGACAUGAUCCCGGGAAAUUCUUCGACCUCCAAUGCAUAAAUUAAACACUCUCAAGAUCCCAAGACAGCCUCUUGCUUCACUGGUUGCUAAAAGCCUCGCCGUUUCCUCAUCGUUGGGUGCUUGCAUAUAUUGAGCUCCAUAAACCCUUACCACAGUAUUGAGGAACACUUUUCUGCACAUUAUGAUUGUAUUUUCUGCCAUUAGAAUAUCGUAAUCUGCAGUAUCUGCAGGAGUGCCAUAUGCAAUCACCCAAAGUGUUGCGGUCACCUUCUUUAAACAAGAAAAACCCAACAGACCAAUGACAUUCCUGACUUGCUUGAAAAAUAGUUCAUUGGCUUCCAUGUUUGGAAAUUUGACGGAACAACCGUAUGGACACGUGGAAGCGUCGUUGGAAUAGGUAGGGAGGGUAUCUAGUAUGUGGGGAAAAGUAGCCGGCCAUGAGCAGAUUAUGGCAGGCUACUCUAUUUGGGUGAAAUGUCAAAUGACCUAUCUACGACCCCGCACACUUCCUCUUCAUUCGGUUGUCCCUAUCCAUUGGGCAACCAUCAAUACAAUCUCAUUGUCUUAAGCGUCCAUCACCCCACUCUCAGACUUGUCGCUUGAAGACUACGGUGAAUUAUCGAAAAACUUCUCUAUCAUCGUCGACAUCUACACUAAUUUUGAAUCCUAUGUCAUCUACACGAAUCUAUGCGGAGCUAGGCUACUACACAUGAGCAAAUUUAGGAAAUUUUACCUUGGGGCAAGUCGUUGAACAUCAAGAUGUUGCAUGGAUGAUGCGGGAGAUGGAGUUGGUGGCGGCAGAUAGUCGGCGCGUGAUGCCGCCCUCUUUAGCAAGCCGAAGAAGGGUGGAUCAGCGGCAGAGAGAUGCCUGCAUCUAAGGAUGGCAAUGGGUCGGGUAUAGGUUGGGUACAACAAUCCCAUACACAACAUGCUCAUGUGCGCCAAUGUCUGCCCAUACCCGGCGGGUACCCAACGGGCAACUCAACACACUAAUUCAAAAAUAUGCCAUUCAAUAGUAUUUUUUGACAGAAAUACAAAAUUGAACUCAGUUUCAUGACAUGGUCAAAGAAAAAGGAUUUCAUUAGUUCAAGCAGAACACUUCAAUAGUUUAAACAAAGGGAUUCAUGCACGACCACACAUUCACAUAGUUAAAGUGUAUAACUUUGUCGGGUCAUGUUCGGGCAUGCCCAUAGGCAAUAGUUAUACCUAUACCCUACCCAUGGCUAAUCGGGUAGGGUUCGGGUGCUACCUUUGGGCACAAAAGUAUGCACAAACCCUACCUAAGCGGGUCGGGUACCCAUGGGUAAAACUGUCAUCCUUACCCGCAUUGACCUCCCAUGGCGCGACCAUGGCAGUGGUAGGCGGGACGGCGGGAAGCAGGCGUGGGGCUGCGGCGAAGUGUGAUAUGUUCGGGAACGGCUCAGUGGAGGCGAGCAGGGCCAAUUCGUGGUGGUUNNNNNNNNNNNNNNNNNNNNNNNNNNNNNNNNNNNNNNNNNNNNNNNNNNNNNNNNNNNNNNNNNNNNNNNNNNNNNNNNNNNNNNNNNNNNNNNNNNNNNNNNNNNNNNNNNNNNNNNNNNNNNNNNNNNNNNNNNNNNNNNNNNNNNNNNNNNNNNNNNNNNNNNNNNNNNNNNNNNNNNNNNNNNNNNNNNNNNNNNNNNNNNNNNNNNNNNNNNNNNNNNNNNNNNNNNNNNNNNNNNNNNNNNNNNNNNNNNNNNAAUGGCUGCAGAAGGGGCGCGCAUCCUGAAAUGUCCCUGGUGCCAAAACAAUUAGUGGAUGGAGGGAGCACUAUAUUGCCUUACCCAACCUCCAAAUAUGGAGGCUCGCGAGCUUGAUUUGGAGCAACCUUCAAAAAAUAUGACGGUGGAGCGCUGGAUGACGAUUCUGCUAGACCCAUUUUUGGCUAAAAUUGUCAUAUGGGCAAUUAUUUUGGCGGUCGGGCUGAUAUGACAAUUCUGUUACACUUGCUCUUAGACUAGCCACAAUGAUGAGUAACAUACACUAGUAACAUACACAUAUCUCUAGACUAUAUUACUAUCUUUAUAGUGGGUAGUAACAUAAGUGUGGUAAUAUGCAAAGCUUCAUUUAUUAGGUUAUAGACUCAUAUUGCAUUGGGACAUGUGAUGUUACAGUAACUAGCUAAGUUACUAUAACUACCUCUCUCCUCAUUAAUCACUGCCACAUAAGCAAAUUUGCUGAGUUGGACUUGAUGUUACUGCUGAAAUUACUCCCACUGUGGCUAGUCUUAUCACCAAAGGAGAUGAGGUGGCGACUAGCAGGGAAAUUUAGAGAGAGCGAGAUGACUUUGACUGAUGACGUGGUAGCUGGGAUUCCAGAAACCAGUGACUUGUCAGUCACAAGCUUUGCUCCGGUAUUGGACGAUUCAUGCCUGGUUUGAAAACAUGAGGGACGAAAUGUCGCACCAAAAAAGAUGAGGAUCCAUUUGCGCAAGAUUAAGGGAUAAAAAAUAUACUUUUCUCCUUUUCUCUUCUUAAUAUCUAUGCCAAAUAUUUCAAGAUUCUUAUUCCUAUUGUCUAUUUAUGAUAACAAAGUUGUGAAGAGGAGUAUCUUUAUCUGACAGGAUUGUGAUUGGGCAAGAACGCCAUAUUUACCAUGGAUAUCCAUGACGAGGAAGUGAUUGUGCUCCAAGCGAUGUAGACACCGGCGAGUCACGCUGUCGCUGGCGGCUACUAGUGGUCUGAGCUUGAGGAUCCAACCAAUGCGCCCGCCAUCGUUGGGAACUUUCGACUUGAUGUGAAGAUGGAAUU
rnacentral:lncRNA from 1 species